rnacentral:tRNA from 1 species
UCGGGGCUCGUCUAGCGGUAGGACUGUGGUUUCUGGUGCCGCCUACUGGGGUUCGAAUCCCUAGCCCCGAACCA